UACGUAGGGUGCGAGCGUUGUCCGGAAUUAUUGGGCGUAAAGGGCUCGUAGGCGGUCUGUUGCGUCGGGAGUGAAAACUCAGGGCUUAACCCUGAGCCUGCUUCCGAUACGGGCAGACUAGAGGUAUGCAGGGGGAGAACGGAAUUCCUGGUGUAGCGGUGAAAUGCGCAGAUAUCAGGAGGAACACCGGUGGCGAAGGCGGCGAUCUGGGUAGAUACUGACGCUGAGGUGCGAAAGCGUGGGGAGCAAACAGG
rnacentral:rRNA from 1 species